AGAGUUUGAUCAUGGCUCAGGACGAACGCUGGCGGCGUGCUUAACACAUGCAAGUCGAACGAGGACCGAGAGCUUGCUCUCGGAGCCGAGUGGCGGACUGGUGAGUAACACGUGACCAACCUAUCUCGCGGAGAGGGACAACCUGGGGAAACUCGGGCUAAUACCACAUGAUAUCCGAGCCUCGCAUGGGGUUCGGCUCAAAGAGGGCCUCUGCUUGCAUGCUCUCGCCACGAGGGGGGGUCGCGUCGUAUCAGCUUGUUGGUGAGGUGACGGCUCACCAAGGCAACGACGCGUAGCGGGUCUGAGAGGACGACCCGUCACAUUGGGACUGAGAUACGGCCCAGACUCCUACGGGAGGCAGCAGUGGGGAAUAUUGCGCAAUGGUCGAAAGACUGACGCAGCGACGCCGCGUGUGGGAGGACGCCCUUCGGGGUGUAAACCACUGUCAGGAGGGAAGAAUCCCGGGUGCGCAAAUAGUGCAUCCGGUUGACGGUACCUCCAGAGGAAGCGCCGGCUAACUCCGUGCCAGCAGCCGCGGUAAGACGGAGGGCGCAAGCGUUGUUCGGAAUUACUGGGCGUAAAGCGCACGCAGGUGGCUCUUUAAGUCCACUGUGAAACUCCGGGGCUCAACUCCGGACAUGCAGUGGAUACUGGAGGGCUAGAGACCGGUAGAGGCUAGCGGAAUUCCAGGUGUAGCAGUGGAAUGCGUAGAUAUCUGGAAGAACACCAGUGGCGAAGGC
rnacentral:rRNA from 1 species